CAAAGUUUCAGUGCAUUCUGUUGAUGUAGACGGCGUGAAAACGAAAACAAGUAUGCCGUCUCACUGUGCUGCGUACAGUUACACACUACGUCGUACGACUGAGACAAGGAAACUUGGAAUGACUUUUCAUAGGUUUCCCAGAGACUAUGGGUUGAGGAGGAAUUGGAAGUUUGUCGGCUUAGACCUGGUGUCAUUCCAUCAGUGUUAAACUUCCCGGCUCAUCUUGGAAGAGUACGUGCCAGAAAGACCACGACCAAGCAGCCUUGAGAUCUUAGGCAGCGUCUCCCUCAGACCAAAGAACUACAGACUCUUCACAACCUGCUCAAACUCUUGGUACAGGACCUCACCACACGGGUCAAGAAGGUUUCUGUCUCAUUUCUACUCUGAAGCUCACCUUCUCCUGCUCAAACUGCUGACAAAUGUUUCUGCUGCUCUAAAGUCUGCUCUCCAGAACUUCCUAAAAACUC
ensembl:lncRNA